rnacentral:rRNA from 1 species
CAGCCGCCGCGGUAAUACAGAGGGUGCGAGCGUUAAUCGGAUUUACUGGGCGUAAAGCGUGCGUAGGCGGCUUUUUAAGUCGGAUGUGAAAUCCCUGAGCUUAACUUAGGAAUUGCAUUCGAUACUGGGAAGCUAGAGUAUGGGAGAGGAUGGUAGAAUUCCAGGUGUAGCGGUGAAAUGCGUAGAGAUCUGGAGGAAUACCGAUGGCGAAGGCAGCCAUCUGGCCUAAUACUGACGCUGAGGUACGAAAGCAUGGGGAGCAAACAGGAUUAGAUACCCCUGUAGUCCCUGUCUCUUUACA